CCUACGGGUGGCAGCAGUCGGGGAUAUUGCACAAUGGGGGGAACCCUGAUGCAGCGACGCCGCGUGGGUGAAGAAGCGCCUCGGCGCGUAAAGCCCUGUCAGCAGGGAAGAAAAUGACGGUACCUGAAGAAGAAGCCCCGGCUAACUACGUGCCAGCAGCCGCGGUAAUACUGAGGGGGCAAGCGUUAUCCGGGUUUACGGGGUGUAAAGGGGGAGCAGACGGCGAUGCAAGCCAGUAGUGAAAGCCCAGGGCCCAACCCCGGGACUGGUCAUGGAACUGCGUGGCUGGAGGGCAGGAGGGGCAGGCGGAAUUCCUGGUGGAGCGGUGAAAUGCGUAGAUAUCAGGAGGAACACCGGUGGCGAAGGCGGCCUGCUGGACUGCAACUGACGUUGAGGCCCGAAAGCGUGGGGAGCAAACAGGAUUAGAUACCCGAGUAGUC
rnacentral:rRNA from 1 species